rnacentral:rRNA from 1 species
ACGGGUGAGUAAUGUCUGGGAAACUGCCUGAUGGAGGGGGAUAACUACUGGAAACGGUAGCUAAUACCGCAUAACGUCGCAAGACCAAAGAGGGGGACCUUCGGGCCUCUUGCCAUCGGAUGUGCCCAGAUGGGAUUAGCUAGUAGGUGGGGUAACGGCUCACCUAGGUGACGAUCCCUAGCUGGUCUGAGAGGAUGACCAGCCACACUGGAACUGAGACACGGUCCAGACUCCUACGGGAGGCAGCAUG